rnacentral:rRNA from 1 species
ACUCCUACGGGAGGCAGCAGUAGGGAAUCUUCCACAAUGGGCGCAAGCCUGAUGGAGCAACACCGCGUGAGUGAAGAAGGGUUUCGGCUCGUAAAGCUCUGUUGUUAAAGAAGAACACGUAUGAGAGUAACUGUUCAUACGUUGACGGUAUUUAACCAGAAAGUCACGGCUAACUACGUGCCAGCAGCCGCGGUAAUACGUAGGUGGCAAGCGUUAUCCGGAUUUAUUGGGCGUAAAGAGAGUGCAGGCGGUUUUCUAAGUCUGAUGUGAAAGCCUUCGGCUUAACCGGAGAAGUGCAUCGGAAACUGGAUAACUUGAGUGCAGAAGAGGGUAGUGGAACUCCAUGUGUAGCGGUGGAAUGCGUAGAUAUAUGGAAGAACACCCAGUGGCGAAGGCGGCUACCUGGUCUGCAACUGACGCUGAGACUCGAAAGCAUGGGUAGCGAACAGGAUUAGAUACCCUGGUAGGAUAGCG